GCUAGCUGAGCGCUGAAGGGAGAGAGGCCUCAGACUAGAAGGUUAGUGCUAGAUGGCCAGCGUGACACAGCGACCCGGCGACCCGGCGACCCAGUCCUGACCUCAUGGAACGGCAACAGUAGGAGACAACGCGUGUGACUGGCAGCAGGGCAGAGGUUUACCUCUGCCUGCAUUUGUGAGUAGGGUCUCUACUGUUUACUGGGUGCAGCUGGAUUGGGAGAGGGUCGCCAUGGCCAUGAGCCGGGCCGCUUCUGGGACCAUUGUUCUGGCCCCUAUUUGUUAUGUUACAGGACACCGACGCAAGGGGAGCUGUGGCGGUGGUCGCAUAACAGAUUCGGGUGCAGAACGCAAGCCGGGCUGGGAAGUGAUGGGCCAGCGGAAGAAGAAGAUGGGAGGCUCUUUCUCGUCUGCUGAAGACGAGGCUGGUGUGGACUCAGCUUUAAAGAAGAACUUCCUGGCCUGCUGAUGGACCCAUAAUGAACAUGUGGCAUAAUUAUAGCAGGGAGGUUUUUAGUGAAUGUAGAAAAUGGUAGUUUUAUGGGUUUUAGAAUUGUUUUAUUUAGUUUUAGUAGAUAACAUUUUAUUUCUUACAUUUUAAGGGUGUUUUUAUUUGUGAUCCCUGGCCUAGAAAUAAACUGUUUCUGAUGAGACCUGCUGCAUCUCUGUGCCCUGGGUAUCUGACUCGCUUGCUCCCCCUUGUAUUUUAAAGAAUCUUUCUUUUUAGCGUAAAAAGUCCGCCCGUGUUACAUUGGCAUUUCAAAUAUUUACUCUUCAUGCUUUUGAAGUAGAAUUUUUAAUUUAUUAGUUAACAUUUAAGUAAACAGUGAUUUAAAUUUAAGCUAAAAUGCAGCUACACACAGGUCACAAGUUAGCAAAACUAACUGUUUGCAAAUAUCAUAUCAAUUGUCAUACAAAGGCCCUGUAUUAGUCAUUUUAAAUAUGAACUUGUACAUGACUGAGACAUAAAAACAAACCUCAGUGAAUUCUUCAGGGAUUUAACAAUUAAGACGUAACCAUGUUUUGUAGCCGGUUGAGGGCAGCAGUAGAUUAAGUGAGUGUGAUGAUGAUCAACCUGCUCUUAAACGCUGUAAUGGAGGAAAUCAACACAAGCAUAUUUUGCUUUACGAGCCAUCGUUAAAGUUCUGUUUUUUUUUAACAAAACACACAGUGUGUGUUUUGUUUUUUGUUUUUUUUCUAGAUUAUUCUUCUAACUCUUAACAGACUGCUAAUGUGUAAGCAAAAGGCUAUAUUUGUUAUUUAUUUGUAGUAAACUGAAAUAAAA
ensembl:lncRNA